UACGAAGGGGGCUAGCGUUGCUCGGAAUCACUGGGCGUAAAGCGCGCGUAGGCGGGUCGUUAAGUCGGGGGUGAAAUCCUGGAGCUCAACUCCAGAACUGCCUUUGAUACUGGCGAUCUUGAGUCCGGGAGAGGUGAGUGGAACUCCGAGUGUAGAGGUGAAAUUCGUAGAUAUUCGGAAGAACACCAGUGGCGAAGGCGGCUCACUGGCCCGGUACUGACGCUGAGGCACGAAAGCUAGAGGAGCAAACAGG
rnacentral:rRNA from 1 species